GUUCGGGGGAGCCUGGGGUAACCUCAAGCUUCCUUCCAAGAACAACAGUACUAGUCAUAUCAACCGUAUUAGUUGCUUUUCUUCUGCCCUCUUUCGGUCAGGUGAAGGCUCUAAUUGGUUCUCUCCCCAGUAUACUUGUGACGGUCUGCUUCUUAAAGAAAGCAAAGAA